rnacentral:rRNA from 1 species
UACAGAGGUCCCAAGCGUUGUUCGGAUUCACUGGGCGUAAAGGGUGCGUAGGUGGUUAGGUAAGUCCGAUGUGAAAUCUCCAGGCUCAACCUGGAAAUGGCAUUGGAUACUAUCUAGCUUGAGGAGUGGAGGGGGGACUGGAAUUCUCGGUGUAGCAGUGAAAUGCGUAGAUAUCAGGAGGAACACCGAUGGCGAAGGCAGGUCUCUGGGCUGACACUGACGCUCAUGCACGAAAGCGUGGGGAGCAAACAGG